GAAUCUGUGCAGCCUAAUGUUGGGCAUUUGGAUGAGUCUGGGCCGAUACACAGCUGGUUAGUUCACCAUUUAUGCUCUCUACGGAUUUAUUCGCACCCAAAUAAUUUCUUUGUUAUUUUUGAAUAUCAUGUUUAAGGAAUUUUACCUUUAGAUUGUUCUGAGUCAUGCAUGCCAAACAGUUCAUUUUCUAAGAGUGGUUGUGCCUCAUCGACUUAUAAAAAACAUGACAUAUCUUUGUACGUGAGAGGAGAAAUGGUUCUCCCAUUACACACGACUCACUAGCCUAUAAUGCCGAUGAAUCUUUGGUCUGCAUCUUGUUCUUCUUGUCCAGUUCUUUCAGCCAAAUCUAAAACUACAAAUUGAGCAUUGAUAAUGAGUUUGUGUACUUGAGUAUCAGUUUGUGUGUGCGUAUUGGUGGAUGACAUUCAACUAGUUUAUACGACACGACAGAAAGAUAUAUGCCUCUUUGAUUAAUAUUUUUGGAGCUAUAAUAUAUGAUUUAUGUGCUGUAAUUGUAUUUUUAGGAUCUUGUUAUGGUGAUUUAUCAUCUUAUGACAUUGAUCAAUAUUGUGUGCUACUGCAAUUGACAUGAGAACACUUUGUGCAUGGAGAUGUCGACAGUGCUCUUGAUAGGCUCUGACAGAAAAAGAAAACUGAAGUUGGACAACAAUAAUGAGAAUCUUGUAUCAGCAGGAGUUGUUUGUUGGUGUUUAGUGACUUGUUAUGUUUUAAGUUUAAGCAUUAUUUUAGACGAAUGGAACUGUGUUUACAUUUUACUAUUUCGGUGUUGUAACUUGUUAAGAAUUUUUUUGGAGAUAGGGAACAAUUUUGAAUCA
rnacentral:lncRNA from 1 species